UGCCAGCAGCCGCGGUAAUACGGAGGGGGCGAGCGUUAUUCGGAAUCACUGGGCAUAAAGGGCAUGUAGGCGGCGCUAUAAGUCAGUGGUGAAAUCCCUCGGCUCAACCGAGGAACUGCCAUUGAUACUGUAGUGCUAGAGUGCGGGAGGGGCAGACGGAUUCCAGGUGGAGCGGUGAAAUGCGUAGAUAUCUGGAGGAACGCCAGGGGCGAAAGCGGUCUGCUGGCCCGCAACUGACGCUGAGGUGCGAAAGCUAGGGGAGCAAACAGGAUUAGAUA
rnacentral:rRNA from 1 species